GGGGAUGUUUUGGCUUCGACGGGGGUAAGAGAGGUUCGAUAAGCGAGUAGAGUGAAGCAUGUAAACUCUUUAAUCGAGUAUGCAAAACAAUAAACGCAGAAGAUAAUUUCGCGUUAGCAGCUUAAUUUAGCCGCUCAUCAGUCCCGACUCCUACGAUUGGGGUAGCUGGUGUCAUUAAGUAGGGAACCGAGUUUAGCAAAGCUUUGAGCUAGAAACGGAAUUUAUGAAGCUACCAUAGGAACAAUUUUGUUAUUGGAAGAGUUCUGAGGGAAAUAGUAACCAAUGACUACACUCGUAGAAAGUCUUACUAAUCUACUUUCGGACACGGGUUCGAUUC
rnacentral:tmRNA from 1 species